AAAAUCCGUCGACUUUAUAAGUUGUGAGGGUU
rnacentral:tRNA from 1 species